GGUUGGAUGGCCGAGCGGUCUAAGGCGCCAGACUAAGGAUCAACUUCAAUUUGAAGCACCGCUUACGCCAAGUUGCGUAAUCUGGUCCUCCGGGGCGUGGGUUCGAAUCCCACUCCAAUCA